UACGUAGGGUGCAAGCGUUGUCCGGAAUUAUUGGGCGUAAAGGGCUCGUAGGCGGUCUGUCACGUCGGGAGUGAAAACUCAGGGCUUAACCCUGAGCCUGCUUCCGAUACGGGCAGGCUAGAGGUAUGCAGGGGAGAACGGAAUUCCUGGUGUAGCGGUGAAAUGCGCAGAUAUCAGGAGGAACACCGGUGGCGAAGGCGGUUCUCUGGGCAUGUCCUGACGCUGAGGAGCGAAAGUGUGGGGAGCGAACAGG
rnacentral:rRNA from 1 species